UACGUAGGGUGCGAGCGUUGUCCGGAAUUAUUGGGCGUAAAGAGCUCGUAGGCGGUUUGUUGCGUCGGCCGUGAAAACCUGCAGCUUAACUGUGGGCCGGCGGCCGAUACGGGCAGACUUGAGUUCGGUAGGGGAGACUGGAAUUCCUGGUGUAGCGGUGAAAUGCGCAGAUAUCAGGAGGAACACCGGUGGCGAAGGCGGGUCUCUGGGCCGAUACUGACGCUGAGGAGCGAAAGCGUGGGGAGCGAACAGG
rnacentral:rRNA from 1 species